CACGUAGGGUGCGAGCGUUGUCCGGAUUUAUUGGGCGUAAAGAGCUCGUAGGCGGCUUGUCGCGUCGAAUGUGAAAACUCACAGCUCAACUGUGGGCGUGCGGGCGAUACGGGCAGACUGGAGUACUGCAGGGGAGACUGGAAUUCCUGGUGUAGCGGUGGAAUGCGCAGAUAUCAGGAGGAACACCGGUGGCGAAGGCGGGUCUCUGGGCAGUAACUGACGCUGAGGAGCGAAAGCGUGGGGAGCGAACAGG
rnacentral:rRNA from 1 species